GCAUUAAUGGGGUAGUGGUAACCUGGGUCGUUGCCAUGUCGCCUUGACCUACUCUCUCUCGACCCGCCGGGGGUUCGAUUCCCUCUUAAUGCA